GGUAGCGGAUAUCCACAGGUAUGGAUAGUAUAAUACCCGUACUCAACCCGUUUAUAAGCGGGUAUUAAAUUACCCGUUAUCCCGAGUUCCGGGUAUUAAAUAUCUGCAGGUAUCAACUAUCCGUCAUAGAUUAUAUCCGCGGAUAUCCGCGGGCGCGGAUUUUUUUACCAUCCCUAAUUACAAGUAUCUUUUAACAUAGAAGUACUCUC
rnacentral:lncRNA from 1 species